rnacentral:lncRNA from 1 species
GAUACUUUAUUUGAUUUCUUGCGAAUGUUUGAUCUGAUGUAUGUUUUAGCCAAAAUUUGACAAAGGGGGAGUUUGUUGGUUCUAUGUGUUGGCAUCAAUUUUGGUAAAACUAAGAGGUAUCACAAGUUGUCACGCGUGUUGUCUUGACAUGUGAUAUCAGCUUCCUGCAGAGUGUUUAAAUAUGGUUGUGCAGGAUUUAGUCAAGAUGUCAGACCCGAUGUUAAGACAUGUGCAUACAGAAUAUUCAGUCUGAAUGUUAUGUGUUUUG